UCCUCGUUCAGCAUCGAUUGUUGUUGGCUCGGUGACGGUUUUCUGGUUUUUCUUCCAAGCAGCAAAGCAGGUCAAGGGAAGGUAAAAUGGCGUCGGCGGCUGCACCCACCGCCUUCUCUCUCCUCUCCUCCUCCGCCUCCGCCUCCUCCUCCUCAUCCUCAUCCUCCACCUCUGGCUCCGCUCUCCUCCACCUCCGCUCCUCCGGCCUCCGCUCCUCCGGCCUCCGCCGCCUGGGCUUCGCCGCUGCCGACCCGUUCUUGGCCGCUCACGUGGCUUCCAAGCUCCGAUCUUUGAGGGGCAAGGGGAGCAGAGGGG
rnacentral:lncRNA from 1 species